rnacentral:rRNA from 1 species
AGAACGAACGCUGGCGGCAUGCCUAACACAUGCAAGUCGAACGUGAUCCAGGCUUCGGCCUGGUGAAAGUGGCAGACGGGUGAGUAACGCGUGGGAACCUGCCCUGUGGUAGGGAAUAACCGUGGGAAACUGCGGCUAAUACCCUAUGAGUCCUUCGGGAGAAAGAUUUAUCGCCAUAGGAGGGGCCCGCGUCGGAUUAGGUAGUUGGUGGGGUAACGGCCUACCAAGCCUUCGAUCCGUAGCUGGUCUGAGAGGAUGAUCAGCCACACUGGGACUGAGAUACGGCCCAGACUCCUACGGGAGGCAGCAGUGGGGAAUAUUGGACAAUGGGGGCAACCCUGAUCCAGCAAUGCCGCGUGGAUGAUGAAGGCCUUGGGUUGUAAAGUCCUUUCGGCGGGGAAGAUGAUGACGGUACCACAGAAGAAGCCCCGGCUAACUUCGUGCCAGCAGCCGC